AGUGAACGCUGGCGGUAGGCCUAACACAUGCAAGUCGAACGGCAGCACAGUAAGAGCUUGCUCUUACGGGUGGCGAGUGGCGGACGGGUGAGGAAUACAUCGGAAUCUACUUUUUCGUGGGGGAUAACGUAGGGAAACUUACGCUAAUACCGCAUACGACCUACGGGUGAAAGCAGGGGAUCUUCGGACCUUGCGCGAUUGAAUGAGCCGAUGUCGGAUUAGCUAGUUGGCGGGGUAAAGGCCCACCAAGGCGACGAUCGGUGGCCGGUCUGAGGGGGUGGACAGCCACAGUGGAGCUGAGACACGGUCCAGACUCCGACGGGAGGCAGCAGUGGGGAAUAUUGGACAAUGGGCGCAAGACUGAUCCAGCCAUAGCGCGUGGGUGAAGAAGGCCUUCGGGUGGGAAAGCCCUUUUGUUGGGAAAGAAAAGCAGCAGGUUAAUACCCCGCUGUUCUGACGGUACCCAAAGAAUAAGCACCGGCGAACUUCGU
rnacentral:rRNA from 1 species